rnacentral:lncRNA from 1 species
GGUCCAUUUGGAUGUGGAAUAUAUAUCUUACCAAUGUAAUGAAAGUUUCAUGGCAUGGUGGAGUUCACUUCUGAGAGAAUAGAUCUUAUCAGUGUAAUAAGAUGGCAAAUUUCUUGGCAGAGUUCAAUUCUGAUGAUAUGGAUCUUAUCAAUGUGAGAAGAUUUUCCAGGCAAGGAUCUUGGUGGAGAUCAAUUCUGCAGAUAUGGUGGAAGCGGGUUGUUUUAUAG